AGACCCGAAACCCGGUGAUCUAGCCAUGGGCAGGUUGAAGGUUGGGUAACACUAACUGGAGGACCGAACCGACUAAUGUUGAAAAAUUAGCGGAUGACCUGUGGCUGGGGGUGAAAGGCCAAUCAAACCGGGAGAUAGCUGGUUCUCCCCGAAAGCUAUUUAGGUAGCGCCUCGUGAAUUCAUCUCCGGGGGUAGAGCACUGUUUCGGCUAGGGGGCCAUCCCGGCUUACCAACCCGAUGCAAACUGCGAAUACCGGAGAAUGUUAUCACGGGAGACACACGGCGGGUGCUAACGUCCGUCGUGAAGAGGGAAACAACCCAGACCGCCAGCUAAGGUCCCAAAGUCAUGGUUAAGUGGGAAACGAUGUGGGAAGGCCCAGACAGCCAGGAUGUUGGCUUAGAAGCAGCCAUCAUUUAAAGAAAGCGUAAUAGCUCACUGGUCGAGUCGGCCUGCGCGGAAGAUGUAACGGGGCUAAACCAUGCACCGAAGCUGCGGCAGCGACACUCAGGUGUUGUUGGGUAGGGGAGCGUUCUGUAAGCCUGCGAAGGUGGCCUGUGAGGGUUGCUGGAGGUAUCAGAAGUGCGAAUGCUGACAUAAGUAACGAUAAAGCGGGUGAAAAGCCCGCUCGCCGGAAGACCAAGGGUUCCUGUCCAACGUUAAUCGGGGCAGGGUGAGUCGACCCCUAAGGCGAGGCCGAAAGGCGUAGUCGAUGGGAAACGGGUUAAUAUUCCCGUACUUGGUGUUACUGCGAAGGGGGGACGGAGAAGGCUAUGUUGGCCGGGCGACGGUUGUCCCGGUUUAAGCGUGUAGGCUGGUUUUCCAGGCAAAUCCGGAAAAUCAAGGCUGAGGCGUGACGACGAGGCACUACGGUGCUGAAGCAACAAAUGCCCUGCUUCCAGGAAAAGCCUCUAAGCAUCAGGUAACACGAAAUCGUACCCCAAACCGACACAGGUGGUCAGGUAGAGAAUACCAAGGCGCUUGAGAGAACUCGGGUGAAGGAACUAGGCAAAAUGGUGCCGUAACUUCGGGAGAAGGCACGCUGACA
rnacentral:rRNA from 1 species